GGUCAUAGGCGUGAUAUCAUUGGCUGGAGCUCUGGGGAAUGACAUCAUGCGUAUGGCUGC
rnacentral:pre_miRNA from 1 species